rnacentral:lncRNA from 1 species
CGGACAGGAAAAGGUUCUCAGUGACUGGUGGAUUCUGGGAAGGGAUAGUCAUUGUCUUCAGUUGUGUACCCAAGGUGAGCCAGCUAGGCUCCAGAGGAGAGUUCUGCAGACACACAGAUAGCCCUGGUUAAAAUCAGUGGUUCACAAAACAGAACAAUAUACCAGGAGCUGGAGUAUGGUGAGCAGUUACAGAAAGAAACCACUCAAAGAAAGCUGCAUCACAAAACUCCAUCUCAGGGUGGGAGCCAGUUCUGGGAAGCUGCAGGACACUAGCUCACCAGGUACCUGGGCUUGUCUGAGAGUUACUUUUAGUGUGUGUGUGUGUGUGUUUG